rnacentral:rRNA from 1 species
AGUGGCGGACGGGUGAGUAACGCGUGAGAAUCUGCCUUGGGGUCGGGGACAACCACUGGAAACGGUAGCUAAUACCGGAUAAGCCGAUUGGUGAAAGAUUUAUUGCCCGAAGAGGAGCUCGCGUCUGAUUAGCUAGUUGGUGAGGUAAGAGCUCACCAAGGCAGCGAUCAGUAGCUGGUCUGAGAGGACGAUCAGCCACACUGGGACUGAGACACGGCCCAGACUCCUACGGGAGGCAGCAGUGGGGAAUUUUCCGCAAUGGGCGAAAGCCUGACGGAGCAAGACCGCGUGAGGGAGGAAGGCUCUUGGGUUGUAAACCUCUUUUCUCAGGGAAGAAGCUCUGACGGUACCUGAGGAAUCAGCCUCGGCUAACUCCGUGCCAGCAGCCGCGGUAAUACGGAGGAGGCAAGCGUUAUCCGGAAUUAUUGGGCGUAAAGCGUCCGCAGGUGGCGAUUCAAGUCUGCUGUCAAAGCACGGGGCUUAACUCCGUAAAGGCAGUGGAAACUGAAUAGCUAGAGUGCCGUAGGGGUAGAGGGAAUUCCCGGUGUAGCGGUGAAAUGCGUAGAGAUCGGGAAGAACAUCGGUGGCGAAAGCGCUCUACUGGACGGCAACUGACACUCAGGGACGAAAGCUAGGGGAGCGAAUGGGAUUAGAUACCCC